rnacentral:rRNA from 1 species
CUCCGGUUGAUCCUGCCGGACCCGACUGCUAUCAGAGUGAGAUUAAGCCAUGCGAGUCAACGUAGCAAUACGUGGCACACGGCUCAGUAACACGUAGUCAACAUAACCAAAGGACGUGGAUAAACUCGGGAAACUGAGGCUAAACCGCGAUAGAUCAAGAUAUCUGGAAUGGUUUUUGAUCGAAAUCUAUAUGGCCUUUGGAUUGGACUGCGUCCGAUCAGGCUGUUGGUGAGGUAAUGGCCCACCAAACCUGUAACCGGUACGGGCUCUGAGAGGAGGAGCCCGGAGAUGGGUACUGAGAAAAGGACCCAGGCCCUAUGGGGCGCAGCAGGCGCGAAACCUCUGCAAUAGGCGAAAGCCUGACAGGGUUACUCUGAGUGACUUUCGCUAAGAAAGUCUUUUGACAUCUCUAAAAAUGGUGUAGAAUAAGGGGUGGGCAAGUCUGGUGUCAGCCGCCGCGGUAAUACCAGCACCCCGAGUGGUCGGGACGAUUAUUGGGCCUAAAGCAUCCGUAGCCAGUUUUACAAGUCCUCCGUUAAAUCCAGCUGCUUAACAGAUGGGCUGCGGAGGAUACUAUAAGACUAGGAGGCAGGAGAGGCAAGCGGUACUCAGUGGGUAGGGGUAAAAUCCGUUGAUCCAUUGAAGACCACCAGUGGCGAAGGCGGCUUGCCAGAAUGCGCUCGACGGUGAGGGAUGAAAGCUGGGGGAGCAAACCGGAUUAGAUACCCGGGUAGUCCCAGCUGUAAACGAUGCAGACUCGGUGAUGGACUAGCUUUAUGCUAGUCCAGUGCCGCAGGGAAGCCGUUAAGUCUGCCGCCUGGGUAGUACGGUCGCAAGACUGAAACUUAAAGGAAUUGGCGGGGGAGCA